UUUUUUUGUCGGGAAAGGGCUUCCCCGUGUAACUUUACAGCAGUUAUCGUAGAUAAGACUUGCAAAUUACAGAUGUGGACGGUGAGGGAACGGGAAUUUCACUGAAAGCGCCUGAGAACCAGUAAGAGACCUGCAACAGCUUUGUGCUCCACAGGCGAAUGCUUCCUCCCCUAAUACACAUUAUGUGUGCUUGGAGACACAAGGAGUAAGAUACAGCCCCUCAAGGGACUCGUCAUAGGGAGAGGACACAGCUUUGGGAAUAAAGGGGCCACAAAGGAGGAGAGAGGAGUUUGCUGAAACUUCCCAAGCUCCCAUUCCAGCAAUUCCUGAAGGGUUUCCCCUCUCUUCUAGGCUGGACAAUGGAGGAGGCUUGAAACAGUAGCUGGCAAGUGGUAGAAGAGAUGGAGCAGAGAAGCAAGAAGAAGCAGACUCCUCACUCCUUCACCAGGGUGGAUUUGCUGGUUUGAAGCAGACCUGAGUUGGGAGAGGAGAGAGGCGAGAAGUUUUAAUUGGAUGAAAUAUUUCUUUAGACUGGUCUAUACUUUUUUCUUUAUAUCUAAAAUUCACUGGAAGAGCUAUGAAAUCUGUCCAAGAUUUCGUUCAGUUCAGGAAAAACCAAAACCAAAACCAAAACCACCAGGUAUUACACAUGUGACUCAGAC
rnacentral:antisense_RNA from 1 species